rnacentral:pre_miRNA from 1 species
UUUUUAGAAUAAAUAUGGUCCAUGCAAAGUUUGGGCUAUACUUAUACCAAAA